rnacentral:sRNA from 1 species
AACAAGAAAAUGAUUCAUUAAAUUAAAAGUUUAUUUUCGUGUCUUUUUAAAAAUUUCAUGGACAUAAAUUUUCCUUAAUCUUAAUAUUUUAAAGUCAGACUAUUAUAUUCUAACGUUUAAAAUAUAAGUACAAAAUGGGAAAAACGGUCUAUUUCCCCACGAGAAGUAUCACAUCAUGCCAGAUAGAACACAAACUUUGACCUCAGUCUAUAUAUCUAUGAAUUGAUAGUUAUACUCUUAUUUCCCCCUGAAAGGAAAGUUUCAUAGCUAUAUGUCCCCGAAUAAAUAGUUCAAGAUCCAUAACCCCACGGAACUGGGUUUAGUCGGUUUACUCUAUAUCUUACCGAUUGAUAAACCAACUAAACCUAAUUAUAACCAGACUUAACCGUAAUUCAGCCGUUUUUAACCCGAUUUCAGUUCUAUAACCCCAUAAAAAAUUCCCAAAUUGAAAAUAUUAAAACCCCCCAAAAUCGACGAACCCUAGAGAGAAAAG